UAAGACAAAGGCUACCAAACCUAGUGACCAACCAUGUUUAGGAACAUAGGAGGGAGGGGGAAUGGGGUGAAUCCAAAUUCCAAAUAAUAAUGUUAAGUGGUGAUUUCCUAAGCAUCUUCAAUGCAUUCAUUAUUCAAUUUUCAAUUCCUUUUCACACACACCCCGAUUGGUUUUGAAAAACUCAGAAAGAAAGAGAAGAAGACUUUUGAGAGAGAGAGAGAGAGAGAGAGAGAUGGGAAGAAGAAGGUGCUUCUUGGACGUAAGCAUAGGUGAAGAGCUUGAAGGAAGGAUAGUGGUUGAGCUCUUCAACGACGUCGUUCCCAAAACUGCUGAGAAUUUCAGAGCUCUCUGCACCGGCGAUAAGGGCAUUGCUCCCAACACCGGAGUCCCCCUCCAUUUCAAGGGGUCAUGCUUUCAUCGUAUUAUUAAGGGUUUUAUGAUCCAAGGAGGCGAUAUUUCUGCUGGAGAUGGUACUGGAGGAGAAUCUAUAUAUGGACUGAAGUUUGAAGAUGAAAAUUUUGAAUUGAAGCAUGAAAGGAAAGGGAUGCUAUCAAUGGCAAACUCUGGUCCAAAUACGAAUGGGUCUCAGUUCUUUAUCACCACUACUCGAACUUCUCAUCUAGAUGGUAAGCAUGUUGUAUUUGGGAAAGUAGUUAAGGGAAUGGGAGUGGUCCGUUCGAUUGAGCAUGUUACUACUGGAGAUGAUGACUGUCCCACUCUUGAUGUAAAAAUUGUGGAUUGUGGAGAAAUUCCUGAAGGAGAAGAUGAUGGAAUCUCCAACUUUUUCAAAGAUGGUGAUACUUAUCCUGAUUGGCCAGCAGAUCUUGAUGAGAGUCCUAAUGAACUUGAAUGGUGGACGGAAUCUGUUAACAACAUUAAAACUUUUGGUAACGAUUAUUACAAGGAAAAAACUAAUUCUUUUUUCCUUUUCGUUACAGAAACAAGAUUACAAAAUGGCUCAAAAGAAGUAUCGAAAGGCUUUGCGCUACCUAGAUAUUUGUUGGGAAAAAGAGGGGAUUGAUGAAGAGAAAAGUUCAGGUUUGAGAAAGACGAAAUCUCAGAUUUUUACAAACAGCUCUGCUUGUAAAUUGAAAUUAGGCGAUCUCAAAGGAGCAUUGUUGGAUACCGAAUUUGCAGUGCGUGAUGGAGAGAAUAAUGCCAAAGCUUUGUUCCGCCAAGGUCAGGCAUACAUGGCACUCCAUGACAUUGAUGCUGCCGUUGAAAGCUUUAAGAAGGCAUUGACCUUGGAGCCACACGAUGCUGGAAUAAAAAAGGAACUUGCUGCUGCGAGGAAGAAGAUAGCUGAUAGGCGCGAUAAAGAGAAAAAGGCAUAUAGCAAGAUGUUCCAAUAACAUUUGCUAUGCCUCUGCCAGUCAAUCCAGGUCCAAGGAGCAUUGUAUACAAAAUAUUAGAACAGGCUUGCAUUCAUUGUUGCUAAAUGUAUUAGGAAUGAGGCUCAGAGGAAAUAAGUUGAUACUGGAUUGGUCAACCUUUUUUUUCUUUUUGCAGAGAACUCAAAUCAUUAUUUGGUGGUUAUUAUAGCUAUGGAAAUGUUGGUUAUCCGAUGGACAAGUGAGAAAGCUUUACUUGUGAUUUUGUUUUGAUAUUUGUAAUUAGGUACUUACACUCAAAAAGAGAGUAAUAUAGCACCUCUAUUGGUUAUUCAAUUUUA